UACAGAGGUGGCAAGCGUUGUUCGGAAUUACUGGGCGUAAAGGGCGCGUAGGCGGCCUUGUAAGUCCUGUGUGAAAUCCCCCGGCUCAACUGGGGAACUGCACAGGAGACUGCUUGGCUUGAGUUCGGGAGAGGGAAGCGGAAUUCCGGGUGUAGCGGUGAAAUGCGUAGAUAUCUGGAGGAACACCGGUGGCGAAGGCGGCAUCCUGGACCGACACUGACGCUGAGGAGCGAAAGCCAGGGGAGCAAACAGG
rnacentral:rRNA from 1 species